GAUGAACGCUGGCGGCGUGCCUAAUACAUGCCAGUCGAGCGAACAGACGAGGAGCUUGCUCCUCUGACGUUAGCGGCGGACGGGUGAGUAACACGUGGAUAACCUACCUAUAAGACUGGGAUAACUUCGGGAAACCGGAGCUAAUACCGGAUAAUAUAUUGAACCGCAUGGUUCAAUAGUGAAAGACGGUUUUGCUGUCACUUAUAGAUGGAUCCGCGCCGCAUUAGCUAGUUGGUAAGGUAACGGCUUACCAAGGCAACGAUGCGUAGCCGACCUGAGAGGGUGAGCGGCCACAGUGGGACUGCGACACGGUACAGACACAGAAGGGCGGCAGAAGUAGGGAAGCUACAGCAAUGUGCGAAAGCCUGAAGGAGCUAUACCGAGGGAGUAAAGAAGGUCUACGGAUCGUAAAACUCUGUGAUUAGAGAAGAAAAAACGUGUAAGUAACAAUGCACGCCUGGAGGGGAGCUAAGAAGAGGGACAAGGAGCGUUAAGAC
rnacentral:rRNA from 1 species